CCUACGGGAGGCUGCAGUGGGGAAUAUUGCACAAUGGAGGGAACUCUGAUGCAGCGACGCCGCGUGAGUGAAGAAGUAAUUCGUUAUGUAAAGCUCUAUCAGCAGGGAAGAAAGUGACGGUACCUGAAAAAGAAGCACCGGCCAAAUACGUGCCAGCAGCCGCGGGAAUUCGGAUGGAGCAAGCGUUAUCCGGAUUUACUGGGUGUAAAGGGGAUGUAGGUGGCAGAGCAAGUCCGAAGGGAAAACCCAAAGCUAAACUAUGGGAAUGCUUUAGAAACUGCUCAGCUCGAGUGCAGGAGAGGCAAGUGGAAUUCGUAGUGUAGCGGUGAAAUGCGUAGAUAUUAGGAGGAACACCAGUGGCGAAGGCGGCUUGCUGGACUGUAACUGACGCUGAGGCUCGAAAGUGUGGGGAGCAAACAGGAUUAGAUACCCGAGUAGUC
rnacentral:rRNA from 1 species